CUGCCUGUCGAUGCUACCAAUUGAAUUAUUUGGUGAGGUGUCCGGACGUGAUCACUGUAACGCAUUUUAUAUGAUCCCGUUGUUUCAGAAAAGUUGAUCGAACUUGAUUAUUUAGAGAAAGCAAAGGUCGUAAUAAG
rfam:Glossina morsitans morsitans, isolate Yale, WGS project CCAG01000000 data, contig: ctg10007846